CCGAGUGCGGGCCCUCGUGGCCCUACCUCCCACCCUUGUCUUUAACACCCUGUUGCUUUGGCGGGCCCACUGGGUCCAUCCAGUCGCCGGGGGACGUUCGUCCCCGGGCCCGCGCCCGCCGAAGCGCCCUGUGAACCCUGAUGAAGAUGGGCUGUCUGAGUACUUUGAAAAUUGUCA
rnacentral:misc_RNA from 1 species